CCGGAGCUUGCCGCAGCUUGCCGGAGUUGCCGACAAAGAACCUUAAUUGCUGCCCUAAUUUCCAGCAGCCACACAAAACCCUUAGAAGAUCCGAGCUCGAGUGGAGCACGGUGACCUGCCGAUACUCGGAGAUUUUUGCUGUAUAUAAGUUUUGCAGACACAGGGAUCCUUUUGCUAUUACUGUUGAUUUUGGACUUUCAUAGAGUUGCUCAGAGAUCUCGACGUGCUGAUUUUCUGGUUUGUUUUACUUUUGUUUCACUGUAUUUACAUUUUGCACUUUUGUUACAGAUGUCGUUUAUCUGUAUAGUAAUUGUAGU